rnacentral:rRNA from 1 species
GUAAGGAAUAUUGGUCAAUGGACGAAAGUCUGAACCAGCCAUGCCGCGUGAAGGAUGAAGGCCCUCUGGGUUGUAAACUUCUUUUAUCUGGGACGAAAAAAGGGUAUUCUUACUCACUUGACGGUACCAGAGGAAUAAGCACCGGCUAACUCCGUGCCAGCAGCCGCGGUAAUACGGAGGGUGCAAGCGUUAUCCGGAUUCACUGGGUUUAAAGGGUGCGUAGGUGGGUAUUUAAGUCAGUGGUGAAAUGUCCGAGCUUAACUCAGAAACUGCCAUUGAUACUAUUUGCCUGGAAUGCCCUGGAGGUAAGCGGAAUAUGUCAUGUAGCGGUGAAAUGCUUAGAUAUGACAUAGAACAACAAUUGCGAAGGCAGCUUACUACGGGGUGAUUGACACUGAGGCACGAAAGCGUGGGGAGCAAACAGGAUUAGAUACCCCGGUAGUCC